rnacentral:tRNA from 1 species
GGGGCCUUAGUUCAGCUGGGAGAACGCUUGACUGGCAGUCAAGAGGUCAGGGGUUCAAGUCCCCUAGGCUCCACCA